GGUCUGUAUCAAAAGACAGAAUCUUGAUGACUAAGACAUUUUCUUUGGACCCAGGAGAUGAACAUAUGCCUGAGAAGAAGAACUAGUGUGGAACUGUCAGCCAGGUUUUUGAUGAGUGCUCAGACUGCUUUUUGAUCCGGCACCACAUUUACUAUAGUGGACAGAUGCUCUAGUCUCUGAUGAGGAGUUGCUAGCUGUUAGGAAAAACCUGGAAUGGGCUCCACUGCAUGAGGUUUGAAGUCUCCAGAGCAGCAAAGAGAGUGGGGAGUAGAACUCAUCAUCUUUAGGUCACUCAGCAUCGA
rnacentral:lncRNA from 1 species